UUUUCUGACAUUUUUUCUCACUUUUUGCGUUCUUUUAUCAUUUUUUUCCCAAUGCAAUACAAUUGAUUUAAACCAAAUGUAAUGAAAGGACUGAACUGAUCGUUUAUUUGACUUGUUACGAGCGUUGCAUGGAACAGUC